rnacentral:rRNA from 1 species
GAUGAACGCUGACAGAAUGCUUAACACAGCAAGUCAACUUGAAUUUGGGUUUUUAUUUAGGUUUGGAUGGCGGACGGGUGAGUAACGCGUAAAGAACUUGCCUCACAGCUAGGGACAACAUUAAAAAACGAAUGCUAAUACCUAAUAUUGUGAUAAUAGGGCAUCCCAUAAUUAUGAUAGCUAUCAGCGCUGUGAGAGAGCUCCGCGUCCCAUGAGCUAGUCGGAGAGGUAACGGCUCACCAAGGCGAUGAUGGGUAGCCGGCCUGAGAGGGUGAUCGGCCACAAGGGGAUUGAGUCAUGGCCCUUACUCGUACGGGAGGCAGCAGUGGGGAAUAUUGGACAAUGGACCAAGAGUCUGAUCCAUCAAUUCAUGCGCACGAUGAAGUUUUUCGGAAUGUAAAGUGCUUUCAGUUGGGAAGAAAGAAAUGACGGUACCAACAGAAGAAGUGACGGCUAAAUACGUGCCAGCAGCCGCGGUAAUAUGUAUGUCCCAAGCGUUAUUCGGAUUUAUUGGGCGUAAAGUGCGUCUUGGUGGUUAUGUAAGUAUGAUGUGAAAAUGCAGGGUUCAACUGUGUAAUGCGUUGGAAACUGUAUAAAUAGAGUACCAAGAGGUAAGCGGAACUACAAGUGUAGAGGUCAAUUAGUAGAUAUUAGUUUGAAUGCCGAUGGGGAAGCCAGUUUUCGUGACAGAUACGGACGGCGAAGCGCGAAAGCGUGGGUAGCAAUCAGG